rnacentral:rRNA from 1 species
GACGUAGGGGGCGAGCGUUGUCCGGAUUUAUUGGGCGUAAAGAGCUCGUAGGCGGCUCAACAAGUUGGGUGUGAAACCUCCAGGCUCAACCUGGAGGCGCCACCCAAGACUGUUGUGGCUAGAGUCCGGUAGGGGAACACGGAAUUCCCGGUGUAGCGGUGAAAUGCUUAGAUAUCGGGAGGAACACCAGUGGCGAAGGCGGUGUUCUGGGCCGGAACUGACGCUGAGGAGCGAAAGCGUGGGUAGCAAACAGG